UUCGCGUUUCGGCGUCGAAGUUAAUCGUUUGUAUGACGAAAGACGUUUCGGCGUUUUUUGCUUCUUUCGUUUUUCGAGUCGAUGUCGAACGCGUGCACUUUUCCUCUAGUAGGACGUCGCGAUCCGUUGGGUGUCUGUCUAGGGCUCGAGGUGGAGCCCACGUAAUUUCGAUUGCGUGGACCCUUGGUGUCCCGACAGACUCGCUCGACGGUAUACUAAUGGCGUGGGGCCGCUACUUCAGUUAGCGUUCGGCCCGUAGCAAGCGCGUUCUGUGUUGACGGCCAUCGGACCUGGUGCCGAUUCUGUCCCGGAACGACUGUUGGUUGCGGUGUUCUCGAACAGACCUCA
rnacentral:rRNA from 1 species